AAAAACCGGGCAAGUGCGAGUCGGUCUCGCCCACCGAGGGUUCCGUACUUUUUAGUAUUUGUUGUUAUAGCGGCAACAGAAAUACAUCAUCUCCUGGUGACAGACAGACGGACGGACGGACAGCGAAGUCUUAGUAAUA